CCACAUGCAAAAUACACUCACUCGUUCAGUCAUUUACACCUAGAAGGAUGGAGGAGAGCUCUUCUGCUCCUUUUUUUUAGGGCAUAAGUACGAAAGGGACUUGGCCUUUUGACAAUACAGUGACAGAUUUGGCCUAAAAAUCCAAAAGAAAUCAAUAGACACACAAAGCAUGAAAUGAAAUUUCACAGCAGACUGCUCCAUCUCUCCCCUACUGACUACAGCUAAGGAGCAAAACGCCCGACAGGGGAAGCAUACUUCACUGUUUAUUGAUGUUUUUCCGCUAGUGCCACUCUGUAUGCGACCUGCACAGCACCACUGUAAACCAAAAUGAGGAAAGGCAUUCAUCAGACAGACGGAGGAGGUAGUAAGGAAGCUGUAAGGGGUGGAGAAUCGAUGUGCUUUUGGCUGAGCCAUUGCUCCAUCUACUCCCCCUCUCAUUUACACUCCUCUCUCACAUGAAGAGGAGCCGCACUGUUUGGAACCAGAGGGAGUCUGAACUUCUCGCUGUGGCUGUAAGUGGGCUGCCAGGAAACAUGUAGCACAUAAAAACAAUCAGCGCUAAACACUGAAGAGAUGCGCCGGCGACCACCAAGUCCUAAUUAAUACCAAAUACGUUGUCUGAGUGUUAUUUAUGCAGCAGGGAAGAAUUUAGUGAGAUCAAUCACCGCGCAGAACACAAGCAAACACUUUUUAAUUGGAUCUUUUUUACAAUUUUGUGUAAUUACACGUUGUUGCUUUUGUCACUCCAAACACUAAAUAGCUCACAUAAAUGGACAGAAAUUGUUGGGGGUUUUUAGCGCGCACACAAAAACACUUUUAACGCGGAUGGUAAUUCAUUUUUGCAGUAAAAUAAAAAUUACAGCGAAAGAAAACAAAGAAAUAUGCACUUAUUUUCUAAAAAGAUGGAAAACAUGCUUUCAGGACUAAGUUAAAUUUUCACCUCUCCAGGUUAUUGCUGCCUGCAGUUUAAAACAAAUGAAGUGUUUCGAUGCGCACGCCCAGCCUCUGUUCACUGGGAAAUGAAAAAGAUCUCCACUUCCACACCUUUUCCUAUCAUCAAAGAUUCAACAUCCGCAGAGACCACCUCUUCGCAGUUUGGCACAGUGCCGGUCGUCCUCUUUUUUUUCCGUUUGCGGUGCUUUCUCAAGGAUGUGUGUUUAAUUAACUCGACUGGGUUAGAACAGAGGAGCAUUUUGCUGUGGCAGAGGAGCAGCUUUUCUCUGAGUAAACAUCUUGUAAUUCAAUUCACAGGAAAUUCUUGUUACAGUGGCAUUCAAAGCGAUGCUUGUUUUACAAAAUUACUGAGACGCUGAUCAAACUCAACUCAGUUCCAGCACAAAUGUGGACAGGAGAAGAAAUUCUUAAAUGUAAAAAGCCAAAAUAAAAAGCAGUUUAAGGACUGUCUAGGUUUCUAGAUUCAUAAUAAAUAUAAGAAGUCUACGCUCCCUUGUUAAGGUGACAGAUAUUUGGGGGGAAAAACUUAAACUAUUAUAAAUUAUUUAAAAACAUUUCCUACCCUUUGAUGUCAUUUGCCCACUCUGGCUUCUAUCAGAUUUUGAACACGUCUCUCGUCAGCGACCUUUAUAAGAUUCAGCCCUGAACUUUGACCUGGCUAUUCAAAACCUCUCGUGUAUCCGCUCUUUUGUUCAUUCUGACACGUUUUGUAACUGUGUCCAAAAGUUUAAGUUUGGUUUGAUGAGACAGUAACACAUUGUUCCACAAGGUUCGAAAGACUUUGGUCGGAUCUGGAAGGUUUUUUUGUGGGGAAGAACAGACUUCAGUCCUCCUUAGGCCAGACUUAAGUAGGACACUUGGGACUCUGGGUACACGGUGAACACAACCAGUACCAACCAGAACCUCUGUAGCUUUUGAUCUCAUUGGCAGCCUCCACGAAUAACUUCAGCCUCACUUUUUCACCAGAAUAUAGAGAAAUAUCCAGUUUCAGUAAAGCCGAAAUUGUCUGAUAUUCUCUCUAAUUAUUUAUUGUGCCAUGUUUGUGAAUUUUUAAUCCUCACUAAUAACACAUGUUAAAUAUUAUAUAAUUAUAUAUUACGUAAAUAUUUGUUUUUAAUUGAAAAUACUUGAUAUGCCACAUUAAAAGUAGGAAAAGUCUGAUUGAUUUUUAUUUUAAAUUACAAAAACCUGGAAAGACACACGUCAUAUAAUAAAAACUAGCACUAAUAUGUCUCAGAAUAACCUUAUUUUGUUUAUUUUACAUUUACAACACCUCCUUUUGCAACAUUUCUAAAGAUCAUCACUCAGAGAUAUGAUUAAUACUGGAACAGAUUUAAGAACAUGAAAAGCAAAUAGUGCUGUAAAUCUGACAUGAACAAAGGAGUUUGUUAGCAGACAGUGGUGCAGUCUACAGAAUGGGAGCAGAUCUCAGUGCAGCUGUUGUCUAGACAUGCUGGGUGAACAUCCUGAGGAAUAUAAAGAGGUUUUCACGGUUCUCUUUCAGCUGCUCUGCCUUACUGUUCUCCCAUAUAACACUGAUCUGAGAAUAAGGAGCACAGGAUGAGCCUGAAAUGCCAGAUUACUCCCCCCUUUUUUCAUCAUGGGAUUGAGAUAGACGAGAUCAAAAGAGCAAAAAACUGGGAUGAAAAGAAGCCAACAUAACAUGUACUCAAUGCAAAACGAUGCGGCAAUGAGUUAAGAGAAAGACAGGAAUAUUGCUCGAACCAGAUGCCACAUGUGGAAAAUGCACAGACUGCAAACAGGGCUGAUUGGUCUCCUUGGAUCUAAUAAAUGUGAAGCUUCUCUCUGUGAUUAUUUUUGUUUCACUUUCAAAUAUUAACCACUUUCAUUUUCUUCUACAUGAAGAAAAAUUUUCUUCUACAUGAAGAGGGGAAAAACAUUUGCUGUGACCUUCAAACAAAUAAUUGUUUCCAAAAAUGUUAGCCAUUUCUUUAAAAGGAUAUUGAUUGCCAUUCAAGACUGAUAUAUAUAUA